UACGUAGGUGGCAAGCGUUGUCCGGAUUUACUGGGCGUAAAGAGCGCGCAGGCGGUCGUUCAAGUCGCGUGUGAAAGCCCCCGGCUCAACUGGGGAGGGUCACGCGAUACCGAUCGACUCGAAGGCAGGAGAGGGUAGUGGAAUUCCCGGUGUAGUGGUGAAAUGCGUAGAUAUCGGGAGGAACACCAGUGGCGAAGGCGACUACCUGGCCUGUUCUUGACGCUGAGGCGCGAAAGCUAGGGGAGCAAACGGG
rnacentral:rRNA from 1 species